AUUGCGGUUGCUGUUGAAAUUAAACUCAAAAAAAUGUGGUUAAUCACAGUUAAUUAAUGAUUUAAUUGCUUUUUUCCCUUUGACAAGUGAAAUUAUCGUGUAUAACAACAUUUUGUAUUUACUUCAGUUAACUUUGACUAAUAUUGACAUACGUAUAUACCUUUAAGACGUUAUCGCAUGAUGAAUAAAGAUCUGACAUUUCCGCAUUAAUAUUUUCAAUUUUGAGAGGAUCCCAACACCACUGGCUAAAAUGCAGCACCAAAUCAUAACAGAGUCUCCACGAUAUUUAACUGAAGGUUGUAGACAGCUUUGUACAUCUCUCCUGAUCUCCUCCUUACAUAUUGAUGACAAUUUCAACUAAAAAUGUGAUUCAUCACCUGACUGUGUGGACUAUAAAGUUAUAACUACUGCCAAUGUUUUCCUUUCUUCCGUCUCCACCCCAAACAUUUCUGGUCAUAUGUGGGUGGAUUUCUGUGGCAGUGUUUAUUACCUGGGUGUUAUACUUGUAGACAAGACAGUGUAACAUUUUCCUGGGAGCUUUAAUACAGUUAAUCUGAAAUUAUUCUCCACACAGGUUUUAUUCUGUCUACCAACUACUUCUUGUUCAACAAAUUGUUUAUCAGGAAAAUGAGAGGGCCAUUUUCCCCAACUACGAGGGCAAAGUGUUCUGGAAUCUUCUGCUACCUACUGUUGGUUGUCGUUGGUUUUACUUCCUUAUAUUUAAGAUGUUUAAGGAGCACUAUCGUGAUCCCGAAACUGCCAAUGACUAGUAAACCAGAAACAAGAUGCAACAUUAAUUUGAAUGACACGCUUGACUUUGGGUAAGAAAGUGGACUCAGUAUCUGGUAAUUAUAACUUCCCUUGUAUCAGUGGUUGAAGUGGUAUGUUUAAGAAUUUUGGGUAGGAGGCAGGAUGUAUGCCCCACCCCCCGAGUUUACAAAGAAAAGUGGUACAAACAAAGAAUGAAUACAAAGAGGUUGGUCCCCCUUUACAAGACUCCGUCCCAGUCAUUCAUAACAACCUUUACGGCUGGGUGGACUAACCGAAACAAAAUGACGGAGAAAUCAAAAGAAAAAGGACAGCAGAGAUAGCACAAGAACAGGUGUAAAACACAAAUAAAAUUAUCAAAUAAAAUGUUACAAUGUUACAAUGAAUGUUACAAUAAAAAUCUUUUUUUUUUAAACCAUUCGGAAUAAUUUCUGAUUUAAAAAAACAAACAAACACCCAAUAUACCUACAAUAUAUUCAACUUUGCAUCAACUUCCCUGUGCACAGUCUUUCUUGGGCUUGAUUGAUUCAACCAUAAAAACACAUUAAAAAUCAGGACUUAUAACACUAAAUUAACGCUAAACAGCAAAAGGCUCUUACCGAAAAACAUACGCACUCACACCAAGAGUGAGUUAAUAGUCUCUGGAACUUCCCACAGAAGAGCGCUGACCUCACCUCACACACCCACUGCCUUUUCAAAGCUCCUCUGCCAUUCACACGACAAAAGGCAGCAAACUGCCAGGUGACAUUUAUUUUUUGAGCAAUGACUAGAUUAAUAAGAUUUGAUCAGUUUUAAUAUACAAAGGUCAGAUUAGCCCUCAAAGAAUAGCUCUUGCAAAGCAGAUGAAGCUAAAGAUUCAGCCAAAUGCAGCAAAGCUGAUUGGAAGGACAUACCAGAGCAUAGUAAAUAUUGACCUAAAUGACUUUGUGAAAUUACCACAGGAGUUUAAGGAGAUUAGGAAGGUGACUAUUCUGAAAUUGUUCAAACAGUCUCCUAGGAGGUAUAUGUAAUGUAUCCGUUCGGGCAGAGAACAGUACACAGUACAGGCACAGUACAGUAAAUCAUUCAUAACCAGCCUUACAAACAGACAAGUGCAGAUGAAACAAAUGAGCAAAAAGAAAAG
rnacentral:lncRNA from 1 species